UUUAUAGGGCAUGGAUUGAAAUACAUUAACCCGUAAAUAAAUUUACCAUUUUUACGACAACAAAGAGUGAAAUAACUUAUUUUUAAAGGGCUUGUUCUUAUGACGUCUGCUGUUUACAGCUGGAACCUGGUUGACGUUUUGACGUAUUCUUGACGUCCGUAUUUUAUUGUUAAACUAAGAUACCCAACUAUAGUACAUGUACACGUGAAUUCGGUGAUUUUGUACUCCAUGCACAUGUCGCGUGAUCACUGGGAACAUUUGUAAACAAUUAAUUAAUUAUCAAAAAAAUUCUGUCGUUACAAUCUAUACAGCAUCGGAGACUGUAUGUCUUCUGUGGUCCAAUUAAUUAGUUGGUUUUUUUUUUUUUUUUUUUUUUUUUUUUGUCAUCCGGGGAGUUUAGGUUCCUUUGAUCAAGGUCUUAUGUACGCUUUAGCUGAAUGACAUUGGUGAUGUAAUCUUGUCUUUGUGCUUGAACAUGAAGAGCGGAUUUGUCAACUACUGAUGAAAUCUUCAAAUAUUUUUCACAUCAAUGAGGCGUUAAAUCAAAACGAGCUAGGGUGCUUUAUAAGUUGUGAAGGGACUGGUGGAGAAUACUGUGGCGGAUCUAAAGUUGUGUUACCCGGAGGCUGGGAAAAGAAGCGAAUCUCGAAGUUAAUCCUGUUUUAUUUCCUCAAAAUAAAAUGAAAAGCAUUAAUCUGUAGAGAAAGGCUUCGUGUGACAGUUUACGACACAGGAAAGAGUGCUUUACGGCAACAAUUACUUCCAGUCUCUAGAGAGUUCCAAUAAUUGUCGAUUUGACGGGGAAGCAUUGUUCAUCUGUCAACAGCGGUCUGCAGUAUUAUAGAGAGCACGAUACGUCAAUGAAGGAGGCUCCAACAGAUGCGAUUUCUAGUCCUCUGUGCCAAUAAAUGAAUUUCCAAUUCUGUCUUUCAAAGUGUUGAUUUUAAAGGAACAUUUUCAAGACAGAAAAUGUUGUUACAUUAUGAAAUCAUGAAUGGAUUCCCCUUCCUAUUUAUUUUACUCGUUGAGAUCUGAUAUUUUAUAUACAAGAAAUGUAGAAUAUAUAAUAUCAUAUU